UGCUAGCUGACGAGUCCCAAAUAGGACGAAACGUGGAUCCUGGAU
rfam:Schistosoma mattheei strain Denwood, Zambia genome assembly, scaffold: SMTD_scaffold0009990